rnacentral:rRNA from 1 species
UACAGGGGGGGCAAGCGUUGUUCGGAAUUACUGGGCGUAAAGGGUCUGUAGGUGGCUUGCUAAGUCAGACGUGAAAUCCCUCAGCUUAACUGGGGAACUGCGUCUGAUACUGGCGAGCUUGAGUGCAGGAGAGGAACGCGGAAUUCCAGGUGUAGCGGUGAAAUGCGUAGAUAUCGCUUGGAACGCCGACGGUGAAAACAGCUCGCUGGGGACCCGCUGACGCUGAGACACGAAAGCCAGGGGAGCGAACGGG